rnacentral:rRNA from 1 species
AUGGCUAGACGAGGGCUUAACUGUCUCCCCCCUCCAGUCAGUGAAAUUGAUCUAUCCGUGCAGAAGCGGGUAUAAUACUACAAGACGAGAAGACCCUUUGGAGCUUAAGGUACAAAAUUCAGCCACGUAAAACAACUCCAUACAAAGCAAGAACUUAAUGGCCAUGAAAUUUUACCUUCGGUUGGGGCGACCGCGGAGGAAAAGCAAGCCUCCGAGUGGACUGGGCCAAGAUCCCUAAAGCCAAAAGAAACAUCUUUAAGCCGCAGAACAUCUGACCAAUAGUGAUCCGGCCAAUAAGGCCGAUCAACGAACCAAGUUACCCUAGGGAUAACAGCGCAAUCCUCUCCCAGAGCCCAUAUCGACGAGGGGGUUUACGACCUCGAUGUUGGAUCAGGACAUCCUGGUGGUGCAGCCGCUAUCAAGGGUUC